GGAGAGGAAGUGCGGCUGAAGGGCUGGUUACUGAAGACACCCCCAAGCCAUCGAGAUGUACCCCAAACCUGCCAUCUCCCUGAGCCCCGGCAGGGUGACCGCCCUGGGGCAGGAUGUCACCGUUCGGUGUCGGGCUGGUCGCCGGGACGCCACGUUCUCUCUGUUUAAGGUCGGGGAUCGGACCCCGCUGGGACGUAUGGAGCCUGCUGGGGCUGGGGGCGAAUUUCUCAUCCAUAGUGUGAGACAGGGAGAGAGCUACACCUGCUAUUAUCAUGACACAGCAGAUCGGAGCCCAGCGACCCCGAGGAGCUGGUGGUAUCAGCUCCAGGAACCUGAACCUGGCGCCGAUGGACUCAGUUAUGCCGAGCUGGACGGCCAGGCACACUCUAAUGCUGACAGACCAUACUUGCACUAAAGAAGUAGCCCUAUAGGAAAAAAAUCUGAUUUAUUGACAGAAUGAUGCAAGUCGUGUAACUUUUUUAAUUUGUCAACAUUUUAUUGGAAAUUUCUAUGAAGAGGUAUUGAAACA